UGCCCUAGGGCUAGUGGAAGACUUAAGAUGGCGGCGUUUGCACGGAGUGCAAUCACUGCGUCCUUACGGGGGUUGCAAGGCGUCCGAAGUAUGAGUCCACUAACAAAAGUCCAGAAACUCGCCAGUUAAUAGUAUUGUGGUGAGUGAUGAGCCUCACGUUGGCUAGAGAAGUGGCCGUUAGCGAGGCUACACACUUUGGGAUCGCGUGGCCUGAGUCGGGGGAGUAACCGGCCUGUAUUCCAUUUUUCUCUCUCCAGUCUCUUCAAAAUAUCGGAGAAUAAUUUCUUUCUCGCUGAUCGCCUAACUUCUACUGACGAAGCUUGGAAGUUGCAGAAGGUUGGAGUGCAAUGGCGCGAUCUCGGCUGACUGCAACCUCCACCUCCUGGAUUCAAGCUAUUCUCCUGCCUCAGCCUGCCGAGUAGCUGGGAUUACAGGCAUGUGCCACCGCACCCAGCUAAUUUUGUAUUUUUUAGUAGAGAUGGGGUUUCUCCAUGUUGGUCAGGCUGGUCUUGAACUCCUGACCUCAGGUGAUCCGCCCACCUCAGCCUCCCAAAGUGCUGGGAUUACAGGCGUGAGCCACCGCGCCCGGCCAGAACAUUAGUUUUAAACUUCCUAACCCUUGGGAGAAGGCAAAACACUUGAUGAAAUCUACAUAAAGACUAAAACAUUUUACCAAUUUUGCAUUGUUUGUUUGAAAUUGCAUUGACGACUGCCAGACAUGAUGUAUUGAGUAAAAGGAACUUCGGUACACAGGCCUUUAGUGAUGUGGUGGUAAGAUGUAUGGGUCACAGUUUUUACAACUAUCCUAAUGGCCACAGUGUUUGUUGCCCUUCCUCCCACUGAGUAAGGACUUUGUUUUGUAGAUGGAGUAGGAUCUGAACAGAUUUCUUUGACCUUCCCAAAACAGAUUUUGUUCCCCUCUCCCAGGUGUGUACCUUGAGGGUAGUUUCUCAAGACUGUCAUCAAUCUUUUGUGUGAUCUCUUGAAUGGGUUAGUGGAGAAAAUACCUGAAUAGUCUGCAGACCUCUCAAUUCUGUGCUGCCCCACCCUGGGCUUCAUACUUACUUGCCAGUUAACACUUACCCUUUGCCAAUUGACCAACCAUUUUAGUUGAUCUCUUACUGAUGUCUGGUUGCAUCUACUUUCACAGGUAAGCCGGGGGUGUGUCUCAUCAUUCCUUUGGGGCACCACAACUUAGAUUUUGGUUGGCCCCAGUAAGACUCCUGUCUCUGGGGGAUUCAAGGAAAGUUGUGAACUUCUUUCCUAUUCUCCUACCCUCUUUAUUUGUAAGGGUGAAAGUGAUGCUCUCUCUAGCUCUCUACCUACCAGAACCAGAUGAUGUUUUCUAGUCUAGUCUGGUACUGUCUUUCACUUACUGUGAAGCCCCAUUAUAUUUACUGUGAUUUUCUUCAUAUUGUUGGAUUUAUAUCUCUAAUUUAAAAAAAUGAUUUGGUUUGGAAUGGUUUUUUCAUAAUGCAAUCCAAAGUAUCAUAGUCCCCAUGGUUUCUUAGUCUUUCCCUGUUUCUCAUGACCUUGACAGAUUUAAAAAGUGUACUGGUUAGGUAUUUGGUAGAAUAUUUCUCAAUUUGGAUUUGUCUGAUAUAGUCUCAUGAUUAAAUGAUAUGAAUUUUGGGGAAGAAUACCACACAGAUAUACCAUUCUCAUAGCUUCAUAUCAGGAUAUAUAUGUAUACAUACACACACACAUAUACACACAUAUACAUACAUGUAUACAUAUACGCACAUAUAUACAUAUAUACAUAUACACACGUAGACAUGUAUACAUAUACACACGUAGACAUGUAUACACAUACACACGUAGACAUGUAUACACACGUAGACAUGUAUACACAUACACACGUAGACAUGUAUACACACACGUAGACAUAAAUGCAUGCAUAUACACACGUAGACAUAAAUGCAUGCAUAUACACGCGUAUACAUAUAUGCGUGCAUAUACGCACGUAUACAUAUAUGCGUGCAUAUACGCACGUAUACAUAUAUGCGUGCAUAUACGCACGUAUACAUAUAUGUGUGCAUAUACGCACGUAUACCUAUAUGUAUGCAUAUACACAUGUAUACAUAUAUACACACAUAUAUGUAUACAUACAUAUAUAUAUAUAUAUAUACACGAUUUUAGCAUUACUUAUUACUGAGGAUGUUACUCUUAAUCACUUAGUUCAGGUUGCCCGGUUUCUCCACUGUAAAGUUACUGUUUUUCUGUUUCCAUCCUCUAUGCUUUGGAAGUGAGUUACUAAAUUUAGUCCACAUUUAAGGGAAGCAGAAUUAACCUCCAUAUCUGGAGGGGUAUCUACCUGUAUAUAUGUAUUUAUUUUUGGGAAAUUUUCUCUAAGGAAGAUUUUUUUUCUCUCCCUUAUUUAUUUGGUCAUCUGUUUCUAUCAUUCUGGAUUCGUGAAUAAUUAUUAAUUUGUUAAUUAUACAUAAUCCCACAUCUUUUUUUUGGAGCUAUUGCUUACUUUCUGGUACAAGGUAGUAUAGGCUUAUCUUGUAUUCUCCCUGCACCAGCCUUACUUUUAGCCAUUUUAAUAAGGAGCCCGGGUACUUUUUAUUGAAAAAUACAUUUAGAAACCAUGGUCUGAGCACUGAGUGCCCUUUUAGUUACUGAGGUAGCACUGAUUCUGUACCUCCUAAACAGAAAGCUAGAAAAUAUAUGUAUGCAUAGUAAUGUUUGGAUCUAUUUAAUUAUUUUUACAUACACAUGUAUGUAGCUAUGUGUCCAUUAAAGUAAACAUG
rnacentral:lncRNA from 1 species